AAAUGAAUUGACGGGGACCCGCACAAGCAGCGGAGCGUGUGGUUUAAUUCGAUGCGACGCGAAGAACCUUACCUAGGUUUGACAUGGCUCUGGUAGCGAAGGGAAACCCGAGCGACCCGCAAGGGAGGAGUCACAGGUGCUGCAUGGCUGUCGUCAGCUCGUGUCGUGAGAUGUUGGGUUAAGUCCCGCAACGAGCGCAACCCUCGGCGUAUGUUUUACAUGUCAUACGCAACUGCCCGCCAUAAGCGGGAGGAAGGUGGGGAUGACGUCAAGUCAGCAUGGCCUUUAUAUCUAGGGCGACACACACGCUACAAUGGCGCGUACAAUGGGCGGCGAGUGGGCGACCACAAGCAAAUCUCUUAAAGCGCGUCUUAGUUCGGAUUGGAGUCUGCAACUCGACUCCAUGAAGGCGGAGUUGCUAGUAACCGCGCGUCAGCCAUAGUGCGGUGAAUGCGUUCCCGGGUCUUGUACACACCGCCCGU
rnacentral:rRNA from 1 species